rnacentral:rRNA from 1 species
UUCCAGACUCCUACGGGAGGCAGCAGUGGGGAAUAUUGCACAAUGGGGGAAACCCUGAUGCAGCGACGCCGCGUGAGCGAUGAAGUAUUUCGGUAUGUAAAGCUCUAUCAGCAGGGAAGAAAAUGACGGUACCUGACUAAGAAGCCCCGGCUAACUACGUGCCAGCAGCCGCGGUAAUACGUAGGGGGCAAGCGUUAUCCGGAUUUACUGGGUGUAAAGGGAGCGUAGACGGUCCUGCAAGCCAGAUGUGAAAGCCCGGGGCUCAACCCCGGGACUGCAUUUGGAACUGUAAGGCUAGAGUGCAGGAGAGGUAAGUGGAAUUCCUAGUGUAGCGGUGAAAUGCGUAGAUAUUAGGAGGAACACCAGUGGCGAAGGCGGCUUACUGGACUGUAACUGACGUUGAGGCUCGAAAGCGUGGGGAGCAAACAGGAUUAGAUACCCCAGUA